AGACACACUCACACUCACUAACAGACACACACUCACUGACACACACACACUCACAGGCAAACACACUCACACUAACAGACACACUCACACUAACAAACACACACACAUUAACAGACACACACUCACUGACACACACAUUCACACUAACAGACACACACACUCACACUAACAGACACACACACACACACACACUAACAGACACACACACUCACUCACCAGCAGACACACACACACUCACAGGCAAACACACACUCACUAGCAGACACACACACACUCACUGACACACAGUCAGACACACACAUACACACUAACAGACAAACACAGUCAGACACACACUAACAGACACACACUCACUCACUAGCAGACACACACUAGCAGACACACACACACACACACUCACACAGUCAGACACACACACACAGUAACAAACACACACACAUUAACACACACACUCACUGACACACACACUAACAGACACACACACAC